CCUACGGGAGGCAGCAGUGGGGAAUAUUGCACAAUGGGGGGAACCCUGAUGCAGCAACGCCGCGUGGGUGAAGAAGUACUUCGGUAUGUAAAGCCCUGUCAGCAGGGAAAAAAAUGCCGGUACCUGACCAAGAAGCCCCGGCUAACUACGUGCCAGCAGCCGCGGUAAUACGUAGGGGGCAAGCGUUAUCCGGAUUUACUGGGUGUAAAGGGAGCGUAGUCGGGAAGUCAAGACUGGAGUGAAAGCCCGGGGCUCAACCACGGGACUGCUUUGGAAACUGUGUUGCUGGAGUGCAGGAGGGGUAAGCGGAAUUCCUAGUGUAGCGGUGAAAUGCGUAGAUAUUAGGAGGAACACCGGUGGCGAAGGCGGCUUACUGGACUGUAACUGACGUUGAGGCUCGAAGGCGUGGGGAGCAAACAGGAUUAGAUACCCCUGUAGUC
rnacentral:rRNA from 1 species